UCCAAAACAUUGCUUCCUUGAAGAAUAUCUU
rnacentral:piRNA from 1 species